CAGCCGCCGCGGUAAAACGUAGGGUGCAAGCGUUAAUCGGAAUUACUGGGCGUAAAGCGUGCGCAGGCGGUUUGUUAAGACAGAUGUGAAAUCCCCGGGCUCAACCUGGGAACUGCAUUUGUGACUGGCAAGCUAGAGUCUGGCAGAGGGGGAUGGAAUUCCGCGUGUAGCAGUGAAAUGCGUAGAUAUGCGGAGGAACACCGAUGGCGAAGGCAAUCCCCUGGGCCUGUACUGACGCUCAUGCACGAAAGCGUGGGGAGCAAACAGGAUUAGAUACCCCCGUAGUCCCUGUCUCUUAUAC
rnacentral:rRNA from 1 species